rnacentral:rRNA from 1 species
UACGUAGGGUGCGAGCGUUAAUCGGAAUUACUGGGCGUAAAGCGUGCGCAGGCGGUUUUGUAAGCCGGAUGUGAAAUCCCCGGGCUUAACCUGGGAAUGGCAUUCGGGACUGCAAGGCUGGAGUGCGGCAGAGGAGACGUGGAAUUCCUGGUGUAGCAGUGAAAUGCGUAGAUAUCAGGAGGACACCGAUGGCGAAGGCAGGUCUCUGGGCUGACACG